rnacentral:lncRNA from 1 species
CAGAAACUUAGGGGGUGGGGCCCAGCAGUCUGUUUUAACAAGCCCUUUAGCCGAAGUCAAGUUUGAGAAGCACUGGACUAGAGGAAGCUGCGGGAAGCAAGUUCAGCGCCUCUGCUGAGGCCAGGGUCAGGCCCCGAGGCGCUUAGUGUAGACAGCUACAUCUGUGCCUUUUGUAAGCAGGCUUGGCGGGCCUACCCCCAGCGGCUGGGGACUGAGCCUUGUGCAGGCAACUGCGCAUCAGGGAGGUCAAACCUGGCUGCGCUGCUACCCCAAGGACAUUAGAAAAGAAACUGCCCUCUUGAGGGAAGGAAGGACGAAGCACUACGCCUAUGACAGGGGUGAGAGAGGGGGCAUUUCCCUGGAUAGGGUUAAGGAUAGAAAUGGGGCUGAGCAACAAGGAGGUUUUACAACUCCACUGAUGAACUAAAGUUGAUUCAGCAGUGGGCAAAGGAAAAGGACAAGCAGCAUUAUUGGAUGUGUGUCACAUGUUCUUCUUGGGGAAUUGAUGCCUGGAACCAACACUGCUGGGUGUUUGCUGAACCUGCAAAUGAUUGAAUGUGACUAACCUCCUCUGAGGUACUUGACCCCACUCCUUGACUUCAGCUAAUAAGCGCUGUGUCCCUGUGUGAAGAAUGAGAUUUGUAGUAAGUGUCUUUUUGCAGAAAUGUAAAUAUGCACCUGGGUUUGAUUUUAAAGACUGAAGACAUUGGGA